CCGACCCCUAGAAGGACUGCAGGUGUGGCUGCUGUGUCCUAUAUGCGCUAGGUGGUAGACAGGACAGAGGUCAUGUCUAGGCUCAGUGUUCUGACUGAUGAGUAUCUAAAUGAUUAGUAGCCUAAUAUU